AUGAUAAUAAUAAUCUAAUAAUAAUCUGAACCCUCACACUCUUACUUUAUUCAAUUUCAGUUUUUGGGCCACCACCAAUCAGGUACAGCCUGAAGGUCAUUGGAAAUGACAGUAAUUGUCACAAAGAGUUCAUGAGAAAUAUCAACUUCAAGCUUAAACUGCGCGAGCAGUCCCGUGAGGAUAAGAGUGACGUCAUCUUUGCUUUUGUCCCCAUUGUGUCACGAGCUGGAACUGACAUCGAAGCUGCUCUUCAGGAAAUUCCUGAUUCCAGGCCUGUUGUUCUAGUGGCUCUCCACCACACGUUUGAUCCAGAUUUUGUAGCUCCAGACAGCAGACUGUGUGUAAACAGGGCUAACGUGUUCACUGUGGACUGCCUGUUUCAUGAAGACCAAGGUCUGCUGGGAUGCCAACGCAACUUUGAGGCCCAAGAAUCAAUUGAAGAUUAUUUGAUUGGCAUCAAGAAGAUGUCCAGACUGCUGAAUUGAGUGAGCUGAAAUACUCAAUGAUGGUGUUUGGGGACCCCCUUAACUCUCACCAGACAUUUAUGGACCAACUCGGGCAACGUCUCAGUGUGGUUGAAGAGUCUUCAAUAGUUAGAAGUGACGUCAUCAUUGCUUUUGUUGCUGGAACAGAUAUUAAAGCUGCUCUUCAGGAAAUUCCACAAGAAGGGUCUAAGCCUAUUGUUCUGGUGGUGCUCCACCACACCACUGAGAAAGAUUCUAUGAAUCUGAACAGGCGGUCUGUUAACAGACAGCAAGUGUUUAUUGUGGACUGCCUGUUUUAUGGCGACCAAGGCUUCCUGACAUGUCAGAGCAACGACAAGGCUCUGAAAGCAGUAACUCUUCAUUUGGUCGCUUUAGGAGCUUCAGAAAGGUCAAUGGUAGGUUUCAUAAACUGUAUUUCCGCUGUUAUGUCCUGAUUAGGUUUUAAUAAUCUGUUUUACUGCAGUGUUUCUCACACCUCUGUUUAUGAAUAGACCUUGUUCCUCAUUUGUGUGUUCGUUAAUGAGGAAGCAUAAAUAUUAGCAUAAACAGUAUUGCUUUCUGAUCAUAUUGCAAUUAAUGACUGAGACUACUGUCUGUUCCUCACCAAUACACCAAUACACAUAUACACAUAUUUCUAUAGCGCUUUUUACAACUAAGGUUGUCACAAAGCAGCUUUACAGAGAAAAACAGGUCCACGCCUCUUAUGAGCAGCACCACAGAGAUGCCAAUUUUAUGGUGACACAUUGGCAAGAAAAAACUCC
rnacentral:lncRNA from 1 species